GUGAAAUCAAAGCUUAAGUCAUGCUCCCGUGGAACGGCAUGCAACUUUAUCCAUUGUUUCCGCAAUCCUGGUGGAGAUUAUGAAUGGGCGGACUUGGAUAAACCACCGCCAAGAUACUGGCUUACAAAGAUGGCUGCUUUGUUUGGGUAUGCUGAUGAGUCUGUAUAUGAUAGACGGCUUGAACAGAAAAACUCAAAACGGAUGUUGAAUUCCUACAAGACGCUGGCAUCUGAUUCUGACAGGCAUCGCUACGAUUCAAGGGAGAGAAGGUCUCGCUCAAGGGAGAGCAGAAGUUCAAGGAUCCACUAUGAUGAUUAUGAUUUUCAUAAGAGGAUACAUCAAGAGAGAGGCGACCGUACUGAUAAAAAACAGCGUAAAAUUCUUGAUAAGAAACAAUUUGAAGAGGGGACAGGACAACAUGAAGAGGAAACAAAUCAACAUGGUAAAAAUAG
rnacentral:misc_RNA from 1 species